rnacentral:rRNA from 1 species
AUCAGGCCAGUACUUAGGGUCUUUACCUAAGUAAGCUAUCACGGGUAACGGGCGGUUACCGUCGUACUGCCGGAGAAGGCGCCUGAGAGAUAGCGACUAUAUCCACGGGUAGCAGCAGGCGCGAAACUUACCCACUCGAGACUAUCGGAGGUGGUAAUGACCAGUUAUAAUUAAGGAAUUUUCCUUAUUAUAUAGGAAUAUACUUUUCCAGUAUAUUGUAACCUAGCAGAGGGCCAGUCUGGUGCCAGCAGCUGCGGUAAUUCCAGCUCUGCAAGUUUGCUCCCAUAUUGUUGUAGUUAAAACGCUCGUAGUCUGAAUUAUUUUAAUUUAAAUUUUUUAAAUUAAAAUUUAGUUUUUAUUUUAUAAAAACGUUCACUGUGAACAAAUCAGAACGCUUAAAGUAAUUUUCUUUAUUGAAUGAUUUAGCGCAGUAUGAAAUUUUUACUUUUUAAAUUUUAAUUAAUUUAACAAGUAAUAUCAAAGAGAAUAAUCGGGGAUAGAUCUAUUUCAUGGCGAACAGCGAAAUGUUUUGACCCAUGAGAGAGAAACGAAGGCGAAAGCAUCUAUCAAGUGUAUUUCUAUCGAUCAAGGGCGAGAGUAGGAGUAUCCAACCGGAUCAGAGACCCGGGUAGUUCCUACCUUAAACUAUGCCGACAAGGUUUUGUUUUUUUUUUAAUAAAAGCAGUACCAUAGGAGAAAUCAUAGUUCAUGGGCUCUGGGGGAACUACGACCGCAAGGCUGAAACUUGAAGGAAUUGACGGAAGGGCACACCAGGGGUGGAGCUUGUGGCUUAAUUUGAACCAACACGGGAAAACUUACCAGGACCAGAUAUUUUUAAUGACUGAUCAGGCUAUAGGUCUUUCAGGAUAUGAUUUUUGGUGGUGCAUGGCCGUUGGUGGUGCGUGGGUUGACCUGUCUAGCGUUGAUUCAGAUAACGAGCGAGAUUAUCACCAAUUAAAUAUAUAAAUAUUUUUAUUAAAAUAAUUUAUUUUCUAAUUGGGACUCCCUGCGUCUAAGCAGGAGGAAGAUGGUAGCAAUAACAGGUCCGUGAUGUCCUUUAGAUGCUCUGGGCUGCACGCGCGCUACAAUGUUAUAAUCAAAGAGGUUUGCUAAAUCGAUAGAUUAUCUUUUUUUUUUAAAGAUUUCAUAGCUACUCUGUUAAUAUAUAACGUAGUUGGGAUUGAUAAUUG